AGGAACUGUUCCUGAGUCUUUUGACACUGACAUUUUGAAGAGUACUUGGCUAAUGUGUAGAAUGUCCCGAAUUUGGGUAUGUUCGCUGUUUCCUCAUGCUUGUUGGAAUUUGUUUUUGUGACCUAACAUAUGAUUUAUCCUGGAGAAAGGUUCAUAUUACUGAAGUGAAGAAUGUGUAUUCUACCGCAGUUAGAUGAAAUGUUUUAUAAAUAUCUGUUAAGUCCAUUUGGUCUAGAGUGCAGUAUAAGUCUGAAGUUUCUUUGUUGAUUUUCUUUUUAGAUGACCUCUCCAAUACUGAACGUAGGGUGGUGAAGUCCCCAACUAUUAUUGUGUUGGAGUCUAUCUCUCCUUUUGGUUUUCUCAAAAAGGCCUUUUCAGACCAAUGGAACUUAUCUCUUAAGUUCUAAUAAUAUUUAUUUUAUAUAUCUAGGUUCUCUGGUGUUGGAUGCAUAUAUAUUUAUAAUUGUUAUAUCCUCUUGCUGAAUUUAUCCCUUUAUCAAUUUAUAUAAUGGCCUUCUUUGUCUCCUUUUAUGGUUUUUGACUUAAAGUUUAUUUUGUCUGAUGUAUGAAUAGCUACUCUUGCAUGCUUUUGGUUUCCAUUUGUGUGCAAUGUCUUUCCAUUUCUUCACAUUCAGUUUUUGUGUGUCUUUUCAGGUGAAGCAAGUUUCUUGUAGGCAGCAUAUAGUCAAAUCUUAACUUUUUUUUUUUUUUUUUACCCAUUCAGCCAGUCUAUAUAUUUUAUUUAUUUAGUUAGUUAGUUUUAUUAUUAGUAGUAUUUUUGAGACACAGUUUCACUCUUGUUGCCCAGGCUGGAGUACAAUGGCACGAUCUCAGCUCACUGUAAACUCUGCCCCCCAGGUUCAAGUGAUUCUCCUGCCUCAGCCUCCUGAAUAGCUGGGAUUACAGGCAUGUGCCAACUUACCCAGCUAAUUUUGUAUUUUUAGUAGAGACGGGGUUUUACCAUGUUGGCCAGGCUGGUCUCAAACUCCUGACCUCAAGUGAUCCACCCGCCUUGGCCUGCCAAAGUGCUGGGAUUACAGGCAUGAGCCACCAUGCCCGGGCAGUCUGUAUUUUUAAAUUAGGGAAUUUAAGCCAUUUGCCUUCAAGGUUAUUAUUGAUAGUAGGUGAGAACUUACUUUUGUCAUUUUGUUAAUUGUUUUUUGAUCGGUUUGUAUAUCCUUUGUUCCUUUCUCCCUCUCUUGUUGCUUAUCUUUUUGAUUUGGUGGUUUUCUGUAGUCAUCAUGUUUGAUUCUUUUUUACUUUCCUUUCACUUGUGUAUCUGCUGUACCAGCAAAUUUUGGACUUUCAUGUGUUUUAUGAUGAUAUGUAUUGUCUUUUCACUUCCAGAUAUAGGAUUCCUUUAAGCAUUCCUUGUAGAAUUGGUCUAGUGGUGAUGAAUACCCUCCAUUUUUCUUGUAUAGGAAAGACGACUACUCUUUUAUUUCUGAAGGAUAGCUUUGCUGAGUAUAGUACCCUUGGUUGGCAGGUUUUUUCUUUCAGCACGUGGAAUAUAUCAUCCCAUUCUCUCCUGGACUGUAAUGUUUCUGCUAAGAAGUCUGCUGUUAGUCUGAAGGGGCUAAUAUGUGACUUGAUGCUUUUUUGUUGUUUUUUAGCAUUUUCUCUGUCUUUGACAUUUGAUAAUUUCACUAUAAUGUGCCUAAGAGAGGAUAUUUUUAGGUUGAAUCUAUUUGAUGAUCUUUGAGCUUCCUGUGUCUGGAUGUCUGUAUCUCUUCCAAGACUUGUGAAGUUUUUGACUAUUUCAUUAAAUUGGUUCUCUUUGCCUUUCCUCAUUUCCUCUCCUUCUGGAACUCCCAAAAUUCAAAUAUUUGUUUGCUUGAUGUUUUCCCAUAUGUCAUGUAAGCUUUCUUCAUUAAAAUUUCUCUUUUUUUCUUUA
ensembl:lncRNA